AGCGAAAUUUUUGAGUCGUGAGUGAAAGGGUGGAAAACAUUAGGGUUUGGAGGUGCCAAAUGUAUCAAUUUUUAAGAGUUGGGGGAGCGUUGGAAGUGAGCCAAAAGUAAAUUUGAGUUUCUCUUGUCCCGUGGCCAGCAUGGUGCAGCAGGCAGCCAAGGUGGCGGUGGCGAGCGUGGUGGUGGCUGCGCUUUGCCUGAUGACGGUGCCGCAAACACGUGCCGAGGAACGCCAAGACAGGUGUAGGUACAACUUGGGCGCAGGCGAAAGGCAGACCAUCUCCUCAUCUCUACCUGGCUCUGGCAGACCCUCUGGCAGAGACGUCUUCAAAUCAUCCUCCAGAAGGUGCUCGAAUUACAACUUCACUUGUGUGGGCGGCCGCCUCACCAUUUCUUUCAGCGAAACGGUGAGAUGCGCGAUCGGAAGUCUUAUUGCCAUUUUCGAUGGGAGAAAUGUGAGGGUGUGUGAUAGCUUCUCAAGCACCCUCCAAACCAGUGGAAGCUCCUUAAGGGUCUUAGCCAGCCGCCGUGGUGGCUCUGGUGGUCACGGAGGACGCAGCUUAAGUGCGAGCAGCGAGAGUGGGGAUGUGGGCAGGAGACAUGGCUCUGGAGGACAUAGUUCUGGAGAACAUGGCUGUAAAGGCGACUGCUAUAAAUUCACAGUGGAGUGCAUUGUUGAAACCACAACCUCUUCCACUUCCAGCACUACCACUACCACUACCACUACCACUACCCCUACCACUACCACUUCCGGUUAGACCUAUUACCUGCCACCAUCACUACCACCACCACCACAACGCCACUACCAAGAAGACGCCACCCCCACUACCAACCACCCAACCAGUAGUGCGGACCCCACUAUCGCCCUUUAGACUUACCACCACCAUCACGUCUACUGCCGCUACUACCACCAUGAUGACGAUGACAAGGCAAGAGGAAAGUAUGAUGAUUGGCACGAUGAAAAUUGUGGUGGUGGUUGUUUAUUAAUUGGGGUAUUUGAUCAUGGCGCCGCAACCACCAUGGACACAUAGCGCUGGUGGUGGUGGUGGUGGUAAAGAUAUUUUUUGUUGAUGAUAAAAUCACCGGAUUUUUUUUUUUUUUUUUUUUUUUUGACUGAUGUACCCAUGAAACCCUGCACGUUUUGCACUUUCAAAUAUAUCAUAAUAGCAUGAGACGUUUUGUUUGAUU